rnacentral:rRNA from 1 species
AUUGAACGCUGGCGGAAUGCUUUACACAUGCAAGUCGAACGGCAGCACGGGUGCUUGCACCUGGUGGCGAGUGGCGAACGGUGAGUAAUGCGUCGGAACGUACCGAGUAAUGGGGGAUAACGCAGCGAAAGUUGUGCGUAAAUACCGCAUACGCCCUGAGGGGAAAGUGGGGGACUCGCAAGACCUCACGUUAUUCGAGCGGCCGACGUCUGAUUAGCUAGUUGGUGAGGUAAAGGCUUACCAAGGCGACGAUCCGUAGCCUGGUCUGAGAGGACGACCAGCCACACUGGAACUGAGACACGGUCCAGACUCCUACGGGUGGCUG